AAAACUAGAAUGAACCCACGUCCUCCACCUUCUCCCACGACCCAAUCUCCAUCUACAGAUCUCCCCCUUCCAUUGGCGUCCCCCCAACGGCGGUCCCUCUAUCCCGCAUCAAGCACCACACCGGCUGCGACACCCGUGGAACACCCACCAUCUCCUCCUCCUCUCAUUGCCCUACCUCGCAGCCAGUGUCGCAUGUCCGUAGUCCUCACCCCCAGCAGCCGCCAGAUUGGUUCACCAUCCCGCCGCACCAGCCAUAGGCGUUGUUGUUGCCAGCCACCACCCCAAUCUGCUGCAUAUUGGUAGGCACAACCGUCUCCCUUUGGUUGAGUCCUUCAGCGGUCCGCCUACCUUGACACAGCCACCCGCUGGGCGAGCGAGAUCGUCAUGACUCUUUGGAUCGGAGGCAUGCGGUAUUGGAUGGAGGAUAUAUAACUACAUCUACAGUUGGUUCGUGAGAAAGGGGGAGCCUCCCGUGACAACCGACAGCAACGAAAAAAAGAUGGCAUUAGCCCAUUGCCUGAUGAAGAAGAUGAGAGUAGGGAAAGAGAUGAUGAUGAGAUGGAGGAGAGUCGUGCAGCGCCGAACAGGAAACCCUCCCCGCCACCAUUAGGGAGCUCUUGGUUGCACCGCAAGCUGCAAUACCAGUGAAAGAAAGAGCUUAUCACUGGAUGAUGUUUCAUGGUCCAAGAUUUUGAGCUCUGUUGCCUCCUCCUUUACGAACAUCUACAACAUAUCUGGUGAUAUGCCUCUACGGGUAGUAGUUAAUCAUUGAUGAGUUUUUACUUUCCAUGCCAUUCUUUGUCCCUUGUGCUAGUCAUGGAGUGGAGGGACAAUGAGAGAGGACGAGAAAGGGACAGAGAGGGAGAGACAUCAGGGAGGAGUGUGGUGGCCACAUAGGAAUAAACGGCUGUGUUCCUAGCUGGUAGAGAUGUGGUAUAUGUGCAAGGCAAUGCGGAGCUACUCAUGUGAUGGUCGGUGAGCCAAGGGAGCAGCUAGCCGUCCCAUCCCUUAAUGGCCCGUGGAGUCUGGUGGACAGAGCCCAUGGACAUGCCUUUUCCUUGGUGCGGGCAAGGCACACAUAACUCUGGGUGCUCCCAUGGUUGUUCCAGUUACUCAAGCGCAGCGCCGCCUGCUUUCAUGAGAUUUUCUCCACGGUCACGCUGCCUCUCUGUACCUGAAUCAUGAUGUGACUGCAGUACAACAAUGAGGCUUCAUUAAGUCGAGAAGGCUUUGAGUGAGCUCCGCACAGCUAUUGACUGAGUCUUUGGUCACUGUCAGGCCUCAGGAAGUGCAUACUGAAGAAGACAAGGAGCACAUGGGUUAGAGCAAUGUGUUUUCGAUGUCAAAACCAGAAUGCCAUGAGAGUUCUACAUGUGCUUGCGUGGGCCAUGGUUGUGUGUGUUUCUGGAGCGUGUGGGUUAUUUAAUGCGCUACUAUCAGCAAUGCGAGGCAUUGAUGAUGAAAUAGAAUUUUGAAUCCCAUCCGCCCCAUAUCUGAACUCAACAAAAGAAGAUAAGGUUGUGAAUCCUCUUUGGGGUUUA